rnacentral:rRNA from 1 species
UACGGAGGAUCCGAGCGUUAUCCGGAUUUAUUGGGUUUAAAGGGUGCGUAGGCGGACUGGUAAGUCAGCUGUGAAAGUUUACGGCUCAACCGUGUAAUUGUAGUUGAUACUGUUGAUCUUGAGUAUCCAUGAGGUGGGCGGAAUUUGUGGUGUAGCGGUGAAAUGCUUAGAUAUCUCAAAGAACUCCAAUUGUGAAGGCGGCUCCCUGGGGUAUAACUGACGCUGAUGCACGAAGGUGUGGGUAUCAAACAGG